rnacentral:lncRNA from 1 species
GGCAACCACCAUUCUACUUGAUGCCUCUAUGAAUCUGACUACUCUAGGUACCUCAGAUGAGUGGAAUUAUGCAGUAUUUGUCCUUUUGUGUGUACAACUAAUUUGACAGGCAGUAUGAUAAGGAACAAUCUGAAUGACACGUAAACAGGAGGGGGUAAAUUCCAAGCACAGCCUGAAUGAGAAGUACAACUCAUUUCCUGUAACCUAGAUGCCUUUUUAACACAUCUAUGCAGUCUCCAUGUGAAACCAGGUGCUGUUCCCAAAGGAGAAAACACUGCCCUCCAGUGGUCUUCAAUGAAGAAAUGGAAAUAGUUUCAGGUGGAAACCAGGCUUCUUGGAAGACUUCAAACUAUGCCAAAUGGUCUGAUUUCACCAUAGAGAUUCUUUGCUGAAGAAUGCAGCUGUAUUAAAGGAAGAAAGAAAACCAAGCUACAGCUCCUUAUAAUUCAACAAGCAUUUAAAAGAUUUAUAAAGAUGGUGCAAUUAUGUAUUUAAGCUGCUUCAACACAAGUUCUUGCCUUUCACUCCCACCCUGUGGCUUACACUGGUAUUACAUCUAUUCUGACAUUUAAAAAUCAACAUUAAAGAACAUAUUGUAAUAAUGUAUUCUAUGGUUUAAAUAUUUAAAAAAUUUUACAUCAUACCUAGAAAGUGUUGUGUACUUUCUAAAGCUUAUAAACUGAAAAGGAUUUGAAGAAUCCUAAUACAGAAUCAUAAGUUAUAAUUCAUCCAAAAUUGUAUAGUUCUUAAAUUUCAAAUCCAAACCAGUGGAUAUCUGUCUUUAGUGACAUUUAGAUUUUAUUCAAUUAAGGUCAUUGUAGCUAUUAUAAAUGGAAGAUUUUACUUCAUUGUGUCUUAUCACUGAAGUACUUCACUCUUGCUUUUCAAAAGAUUUCUUUCAAUUUCUUCAGAGUCUUAUUUGUUCUCUAAGACAAAGACUUGAUUUCAGUUUGUUUUUCUUAAAAUUAAUAUCUUCUCCAAUUUAUUUCCCAGUUUUUUCUAAAUAAAUACUUUAAAUAUAUAGAGUAUUAUUUUUAUAGUAUCUCAGAAUUAGUAAAAUAAAAUCUUGCCAAUACAAA